rnacentral:misc_RNA from 1 species
GGGGGAUUGAAAAAUUUAGGAGUGUUGUAGAGGAAUAUUAUGGGAAGAAAUUUGAACCCUUUCGCGAAUUACCAGACUGGAAGUUUGAAAGUUACUUGGGGUGGCAUGAACAGGGUGAUGGUCACUUAUAUUGUGGACUACAUGUUGAUAGUGGUCGUAUUGCUGGGAAAAUGAAGAAGACUUUAAGAGAGGUGAUAGAGAAAUAUAAUUUGGAUGUUCGGAUCACCCCAAAUCAAAACAUUAUCCUGACCAACAUUCGCAAUGCAUGGAAGCGACCCAUUACCACAGUUCUUGCACAAAGUGGUCUGCUGCACCCAAGGUACGUAGAUCCCCUUAACAUAACUGCGAUGGCAUGUCCAGCUAUGCCACUUUGUCCUUUGGCAAUAACAGAAGCUGAGAGAGGAAUUCCGGAUAUCCUUAAGCGAGUUCGAGCUGUAUUUGAAAAGGUUGGUCUCAAGUACAGUGAAUCUGUUGUCAUAAGGAUAACUGGUUGCCCAAAUGGUUGUGCUAGGCCUUAUAUGGCUGAACUUGGAUUGGUAGGCGAUGGACCUAACAGCUAUCAGAUAUGGCUUGGUGGAACGCCCAAUCAAACCUCACUGGCAAGGACUUUUAUGGAUAAGGUUAAGAUCCACGACCUUGAAAACGUCCUAGAACCUUUAUUUUAUCAUUGGAAGCGCAA